GACGAACGCUGGCGGCGUGCUUAACACAUGCAAGUCGAACGGACAGGCCCUGCUUUUGUGGGGUGCUCGAGUGGCGCACGGGUGAGUAACGCGUGAGUAACCUGCCCUUGACUUUGGGAUAACUUCAGGAAACUGGGGCUAAUACCGGAUAGGAGCUCCUGCUGCAUGGUGGGGGUUGGAAAGUUUCGGCGGUUGGGGAUGGACUCGCGGCUUAUGAGCUUGUUGGUGGGGUAGUGGCUUACCAAGGCUAUGACGGGUAGCCGGCCUGAGAGGGUGACCGGCCACAUUGGGACUGAGAUACGGCCCAGACUCCUACGGGAGGCAGCAGUGGGGAAUAUUGCACAAUGGGCGGAAGCCUGAUGCAGCAACGCCGCGUGCGGGAUGACGGCCUUCGGGUUGUAAACCGCUUUCGCCUGUGACGAAGCGUGAGUGACGGUAAUGGGUAAAGAAGCACCGGCUAACUACGUG
rnacentral:rRNA from 1 species